rnacentral:lncRNA from 10 species
ACAUUCUGCCUGUCUGAGAGCCGGGGGGAAGCAAGGACGCGAGUGAGGCGGGGCGAGUCCCGGUCCGGCGCGCACAGCGGACCGAGCGGGUGGCCCUCUGCGGGCUGCCCCUCUCCAUCCCUCCGCGGAUCCCCCGCCCUUACCUCCGGGCGCGAGAGUGUCGACUGGAGAAGGUGCUAGGGAGCGGCGAGCUGCCUGGGGGUCGGGCUCAGCGGCUGCCAGGGACGGCGGCGUCGCCCGCGGGGUCGCUGCUCAUGGCUUGUCGCGCCCGAGCACUGCGGCCGCGGCCACGGCGGCGCCUUCCUCCUACUUCUCUUCGCGGGCUUCCAGCCGGGACGCAGCUAACGCCCCAGCCCCGCAAGCCCUCCUCCCCUCCGCCUCCCCGGCCGCGGACGGAGCCGCCUCCAGCGCCGCCCCGCACGCAGCCCGGCUAGCGGCAGCCAGCGCCGCCCAGCGCCCGGCCCCGGGGUCGCCACCGCCCGCCGAGUCGACUCCGCGGUGCCAGCCCCGCUGUGACGCAGGCCGCGCCGCCCGGGAACUUCCUCCCCUGCAGAGACCACCUCGCUCCCGGGACUCGCCAGCGAGGGAUGCCGCCGGCCGCCGGGGGCCUUCUCCAGGACCAGGAGAGAAAUCCUCUCUCCGCUUCACGACGCGGCCACUCCCACCCCUGAGACGCCCACCUGGCGGACUCUGAGGGAGGAUUCGGCUGCGUCUAAUACCACCUCCACCCCUCAUCCCUCACAAUGCGCGGAAAACCACAGGCGGCUGUGCGCGCAGCGUCGGCUCAGCCACCGCAGCUCCUCCCCUGGGAUGAAAAAGCACUCUGACGUCUUGAAAGCUGGCAGCUCUCUGUUUGGAAAAUCUCUGCCCAGUGAAAAAAUGUACCGACAAGAUUACUAAGUAACACAGUCUUCUGGGAAUGCCUUAUCAAUGCCAGCUAUUUGAAGAGCACCCAAAGUCAAACUAGUGCUCCGCGCUGGCAGUCUGGAAAAGGCAGAUGUAUAGUGAAUUAAGAAGUUUAAGAGAAGCAAGUAUG